ACACAGUGCACGGGGAGGUCGGAUUGUCAAUGGGUUGGCAAUACCGUCAAAGUUUGAGGAUGGAGAUGUGCUGUCACGGAAGAACCGAUUUAUCUUAUAUUAUCUAUUGAUUUAUCCGUUUUGUUCCUGUUGAGUUUGAUUUCCUGUUGAUUUAUUAAUGUUUCACUGUUUUUCUCAAAAGUUUGUUUUGUCACUUUAACACUAACUCUCUAAUACUAACACUAAUCUAGGAACUAACACGUUUCGAAAGUUAACAUGAACUCAGCCAAAGACAGUCCACACAGACUAUAGUUAUUAACAAGAUAAUAGACUGGAUAUUAUCACUUGAUAAAAAAAGACAAAGUCAAGCAUUGGCCAGACCAUACGAGUAGAAGACGGAUCAACCUGACAUCGCUAUGGAAUAAGCUUCCUCGGACUUGCUUCCCCAUGGGUACAAUCUGAAACUGUUUAAGACGUUCGGACUACCGGUGGCUGACUUGGUAAUGGUGUACUGUGGAUUUAUCAGGCCUAUUCUGGAAUAUUGUGCACCAGUGUACCACAACAGUCUUACAAGCAAACAGACCGCAACCUUGGAACUUGUACAGAGACGCGCCUGCCGAACAAUCCUCGGGCGUAACUACACUGACUACUCAUCAGCCCUGCAACAGUGUGGACUUGAAACACUGGAGGAAAGAAGAACCAACCUCUGCCGUAGGUUUGCAUCCAGUAUGCAGAAGUCAGAAAGAACUGCACACCUGUUACCGCAAACCCGUGGUCAGACGCAUGGCCGUAACCUGCGGAAUUCACAAACACUGACCGUACCUACCUUCC